GGGGAAUUUUCCGCAAUGGGCGCAAGCCUGACGGAGCAACGCCGCGUGAGGGAGGAAGGCCUGUGGGUUGUAAACCUCUUUUCUCAAGGAAGAACACAAUGACGGUACUUGAGGAAUCAGCAUCGGCUAACUCCGUGCCAGCAGCCGCGGUAAGACGGAGGAUGCAAGCGUUAUCCGGAAUGAUUGGGCGUAAAGCGUCCGCAGGUGGCUGUGUAAGUCUGCUGUUAAAUAGUGAGGCUCAACCUCAUAAAGGCAGCGGAAACUACAUGGCUAGAGUACGUUCGGGGCAGAGGGAAUUCCUGGUGUAGCGGUGAAAUGCGUAGAGAUCAGGAAGAACACCGGUGGCGAAAGCGCUCUGCUAGGCCGUAACUGACACUGAGGGACGAAAGCUAGGGGAGCGAAUGGGAUUAGAUACCCCAGUAGUC
rnacentral:rRNA from 1 species